rnacentral:tRNA from 1 species
GCCUGGGUGGCUCAGUAGGUUGAGCGUAUGACUUUGACUUAAGUCAUGAUCUCAAAGUUUGUGAGAUACAACCCCGCCUCGGGCU